rnacentral:rRNA from 1 species
UACGGAGGAUCCAAGCGUUAUCCGGAUUCAUUGGGUUUAAAGGGUGCGUAGGCGGAAUGAUAAGUCAGUGGUGAAAUCCUGCAGCUUAACUGCAGAACUGCCAUUGAUACUGUCAAUCUUGAGUACAUUUUGAUUGUGGGCGGAAUGUGUCAUGUAGCGGUGAAAUGCUUAGAUAUGACACAGAACACCGAUUGCGAAGGCAGCUCACAAAAACUGUAAACUGACGCUGAGGCA